GGGAAGGGCACUGGGAAGAGGACUGCUCCUACCCAACCCAUCUUUAUUUUGGAUGUUCAGGAGGCCUCCCAGCCACUCUCCCUGGCAGCCAGCUAUUGGCUGGGAAAGGGUGGGGGAGGCCGGGGAGUAGGUGUAGAGGGCCCUGAGAGGGUCCAGGAAUGUGUUCACAUGCAGGCGUAUGUCUGUCCUGCACAGGGUAGGAGGGAGACCCUCUGUAUUGGCUCCACCAUCCAAGUCCACCCCACCCCUUUCUGUGUGCGGGAGCACAGGAUAGGCCACUCUCUCUGCCUUCAGCGUUCAGGGACUGAAAAGAGAGGGAAGCCAAGGUGAAGGUCGUGCUGCCCACCGCAUCUCUUCACUGGGCUCUACAAACCAGGUAACCUGCUUCUGAAAACGAUUCCCUGUCCUGGUGUAUAUUGGGGAUCUAGGGUUGUGGGAGAGGCUACUAGACUGAGGGCAGUGGUUCCAGGCUGUGGGCUAUCUGGGAACAUUCUGACUGCCUGAAACAGGGUGGGGAUAGCCCCACAGAGAACAGUUUUCCUGGUUUUUGAUAGCACAGCCCACCCGCCCGACACCCCUCAGGAAUUCUUCAACCAGUUUGGGGCAUCUAGGCAAGGCAUGGGACCAAGCCAGACCCCAGAAGCUGGGCGAUCUUCUCCACGGCACGCAUGCACACACGAGCAUGCAGAAAAGCAUGCCCACCCCCUACCCCAGUGCCCAGCUUCGCCACCACCGCUGUCCCCACUGAUUGGAAGGGCACGUGGGGGAAGCAGCACAGACCUUCUGUUGGGCAAAUACCACAUGUCAGGAGGGGAGGGCCAAGGAGACCCAUGCGGGGAAGAUUUGGGAUGUAUUCCCUCCUCUUGGUGCUAUAAAUACAUUAGCACUUGAACCAACUGGAGGGCUGUGGGUGAUCUCGGGUGCACAGACGCUGUAAGGGAACUCGGCACCUCCAUGUGAGAGCAUUAAAGAUGUCAUUAAGAUGUUUA